rnacentral:piRNA from 1 species
UGCAGGCUGUGACCUGCCGCAGGUUC